GAACUGCUGUGGUAUACGAAUCCAUACCUAUGUGUUGACCGACUAUUUUUGUAUGAUUAGGGAAACAAAGAUCUCCUAACAGUAUGCAGGCCGUCUCACACGGAAGCGACUAAGUUAGGAACACGUUACCCACUUGCUUGUUUUGAGCGGGAUCAAUACAAUUUUUGGAUAACCGGUACCAAUACAGCUUUUUU
rnacentral:other from 1 species